UAAUGAGGCGAACCGGGGGAACUGAAACAUCUAAGUACCCCGAGGAAAAGAAAUCAACCGAGAUUCCCCCAGUAGCGGCGAGCGAACGGGGAGCAGCCCAGAGCCUGAAUCAGUAUGUGUGUUAGUGGAAGCGUCUGGAAAGGCGCGCGAUACAGGGUGACAGCCCCGUACACAAAAAUGCACAUGCUGUGAGCUCGAUGAGUAGGGCGGGACACGUGGUAUCCUGUCUGAAUAUGGGGGGACCAUCCUCCAAGGCUAAAUACUCCUGACUGACCGAUAGUGAACCAGUACCGUGAGGGAAAGGCGAAAAGAACCCCGGCGAGGGGAGUGAAAAAGAACCUGAAACCGUGUACGUACAAGCAGUGGGAGCACGCUUAGGCGUGUGACUGCGUACCUUUUGUAUAAUGGGUCAGCGACUUAUAUUCUGUAGCAAGGUUAACCGAAUAGGGGAGCCGAAGGGAAACCGAGUCUUAACUGGGCGUUAAGUUGCAGGGUAUAGACCCGAAACCCGGUGAUCUAGCCAUGGGCAGGUUGAAGGUUGGGUAACACUAACUGGAGGACCGAACCGACUAAUGUUGAAAAAUUAGCGGAUGACUUGUGGCUGGGGGUGAAAGGCCAAUCAAACCGGGAGAUAGCUGGUUCUCCCCGAAAGCUAUUUAGGUAGCGCCUCGUGAAUUCAUCUCCGGGGGUAGAGCACUGUUUCGGCAAGGGGGUCAUCCCGACUUACCAACCCGAUGCAAACUGCGAAUACCGGAGAAUGUUAUCACGGGAGACACACGGCGGGUGCUAACGUCCGUCGUGAAGAGGGAAACAACCCAGACCGCCAGCUAAGGUCCCAAAGUCAUGGUUAAGUGGGAAACGAUGUGGGAAGGCCCAGACAGCCAGGAUGUUGGCUUAGAAGCAGCCAUCAUUUAAAGAAAGCGUAAUAGCUCACUGGUCGAGUCGGCCUGCGCGGAAGAUGUAACGGGGCUAAACCAUGCACCGAAGCUGCGGCAGCGACGCUGAUGCGUUGUUGGGUA
rnacentral:rRNA from 1 species